rnacentral:rRNA from 1 species
AACCAGCACCGCAAGUGGUCAGGAUGAUUAUUGGGCCUAAAGCAUCCGUAGCCGGCUCUGUAAGUUUUCGGUUAAAUCUGUACGCUCAACGUACAGGCUGCCGGGAAUACUGCAGAGCUAGGGAGUGGGAGAGGUAGACGGUACUCGGUAGGAAGGGGUAAAAUCCUUUGAUCUAUUGAUGACCACCUGUGGCGAAGGCGGUCUACCAGAACACGUCCGACGGUGAGGGAUGAAAGCUGGGGGAGCAAACCGG